UACGGGGGGAGCAAGCGUUGUUCGGAUUUACUGGGCGUAAAGGGCGCGUAGGCGGCGCAACAAGUCACUUGUGAAAUCUCCGGGCUUAACUCGGAACGGUCAAGUGAUACUGCUGUGCUAGAGUGCGGAAGGGGCAACUGGAAUUCUUGGUGUAGCGGUGAAAUGCGUAGAUAUCAAGAGGAACACCUGCGGCGAAGGCGGGUUGCUGGGCCGACACUGACGCUGAGGCGCGAAAGCUAGGGGAGCGAACGGG
rnacentral:rRNA from 1 species